rnacentral:rRNA from 1 species
GACGAACGCUGGCGGCGCGCCUAAUACAUGCAAGUCGAACGGGCACGUCUUCGGACUGUCAGUGGCGGACGGGUGAGUAACGACGUGGGUGACCUGCCCUGUAGUGGGGAAUAACUCUGGGAAACCAGGGCUAAUACCGCAUAUGCUUGGUGUUUCGAUAGAUCAAGUAAAGAGAAAUCGCUACAGGGAGGGGCCUGCGCCGGAUUAGCUAGUCGGUGGGGUAACGGCUUACCGAGGCACGAUCCGUAGCUGGUCUGAGAGGACGACCAGCCACACUGGGACUGAGA